rnacentral:lncRNA from 1 species
CCUUGUUAUUUGUCUUUCUUUUGAAUAUACUCCCGUUUGUUGGAACAAAAUAUCUCCCUCAUCUAAAAAAACCAAACCUUUUUUCCAUCUGUAUGCAAUAUCCUCCCAAACCAAAAACUGCAUUUUACCCCUUUGUUCUAUUUUUAGCCAUGGCAGUCAUCUUGGUUGGUUUGCCCGGUCACUGGACACAAAUUUUAAGCUAAAUACCCC